rnacentral:tRNA from 1 species
GUGGCUAUUGUGUAAUGGUUAGCACAGAGGUUUGUGGAACCUCUAGUUCGGGUUCAAAUCCCGAUAGCCACA